GAUGAAGAACGUAGCGAAAUGCGAUAAGUAAUGUGAAUUGCAGAAUUCAGUGAAUCAUCGAAUCUUUGAACGUACAUUGCGCCCGGUAGUAUUCUGCCGGGCAUGCCUGUUCGAGCGUCAUUUCAACCAUCAAGCCCCAGCGCUUGUGUUGGGGGCCUGCGGCUGCCGCAGCCCCCUAAAAGCAGUGGCGGGCUCGCUAUCACACCGAGUGCAGUAGUUCAUCUUCUCUCCGGUCUUGUGAGGCGGGUUCCGGCCGUGAAACACCCCACUACAUUCAAGGUUGACCUCGGAUCAGGUAGGAAUACCCGCUGAACUUAAGCAUAUCAAUAAGCGGAGGA
rnacentral:misc_RNA from 1 species